rnacentral:rRNA from 1 species
UAGGGAAUCUUCGGCAAUGGACGAAAGUCUGACCGAGCAACGCCGCGUGAGUGAAGAAGGUUUUCGGAUCGUAAAACUCUGUUGUUAGAGAAGAACAAGGACGUUAGUAACUGAACGUCCCCUGACGGUAUCUAACCAGAAAGCCACGGCUAACUACGUGCCAGCAGCCGCGGUAAUACGUAGGUGGCAAGCGUUGUCCGGAUUUAUUGGGCGUAAAGCGAGCGCAGGCGGUUUCUUAAGUCUGAUGUGAAAGCCCCCGGCUCAACCGGGGAGGGUCAUUGGAAACUGGGAGACUUGAGUGCAGAAGAGGAGAGUGGAAUUCCAUGUGUAGCGGUGAAAUGCGUAGAUAUGUGAAGGAACACCAGUGGCGAAGGUGGCUCUCUGGUCUGUAACUGACGCUGAGGCUAGAAAGCGUGGGGAGCAAACAGG